CAAAUGAAAUCGUGGGCGGG
rnacentral:miRNA from 1 species